rnacentral:rRNA from 1 species
AUUGAACGCUGGCGGCAGGCCUAACACAUGCAAGUCGAACGGUAGCACAGAGAGCUUGCUCUCGGGUGACGAGUGGCGGACGGGUGAGUAACGUCUGGGAAACUGCCCGAUGGAGGGGGAUAACUACUGGAAACAGUAGCUAAUACCGCAUAACGUCGCAAGACCAAAGUGGGGGACCUUCGGGCCUCACACCAUCGGAUGUGCCCAGAUGGGAUUAGCUAGUAGGUGGGGUAGUUGCUCACCUAGGCGACGAUCCCUAGCUGGUCUGAGAGGAUGACCAGCCACACUGGAACUGAGACACGAUCCAGACUCCUACGGAAGGCAGCAGUGGGGAAUAUUGCACAAUGGGCGCAAGCCUGAUGCAGCCAUGCCGCGUGUAUGAAGAAGGCCUUCGGGUUGUAAAGUACUUUCAGCGGGGAGGAAGGCGGUGAAGUUAAUAACUUCACCGAUUGACGUUACCCGCAGAAGAAGCACCGGCUAACUCCGUGCCAGCCGCCGCGGUAA